GGCGGUGUAGCUCAGCGGUAGAGCAGGAGAAUCAUAAUCUCUUGGUCCGGGGUUCGAAUCCCUGCGCCGCCACCA
rnacentral:tRNA from 1 species